rnacentral:rRNA from 1 species
UACCAGCUCUUCGAGUGGUGUGGAUGUUUAUUGGGCCUAAAGCAUCCGUAGCUGGCUGGGCAAGUCCCCUGUUAAAUCCACCGAUUUAAUCGUUGGAGUGCGGGGGAUACUGUUCGGCUAGGGGACGGGAGAGGCAGACGGUAUUUUCGGGGUAGGGUGAAAUCCUAUAAUCCCGGGAAGACCACCGGUGGCGAAGGCUGUCUGCUAGAACGCGCCCGACGGUGAGGGAUGAAGGCUGGGGGAGCGAACCGGAUUAGAUACCCGGGUAGUCCCAGCUGUAAACGAUGCAGGCUAGGUGUUUGGGCGGCCACGUGCCGCUCUAGUGCCGCAGGAAGCCGUUAAGCCUGCCGCCUGGGGAGUACGGCCGCAAGGCUGAAACUUAAAGGAAUUGGCGGGGGAGCACCACGAAGGGGUGGAAGCUUGACGGUUU